rnacentral:lncRNA from 15 species
AUGGCACUAGUGUUUAAGUAUAAAACUGCCAUAAAUAAUGUCCACCAUACAGUCACACAGUCUGCCUGGUUGGGAGGUUNNNNNNNNNNNNNNNNNNNNUAUUCAAGGGAUAAGCUUUAUGAAUACACUGCUAAAUACAUCUCUAAAAGUCUCAGUAGAGCUCCCUUUUCACUUCCAGAGACACAGACUGAAGCACAGGACAGUGCAGCAAAACAGGUCUUGGACAGCCAUGAUGAACGACAAAAGCCACUGUCCAAGCCUGGACUAUCUCUUGAGAAAAAAAAUGAACUUGAGAAACAGAGAAGGCAUGUCCUGAUCAAUGAGCACAACAGACUAACGUUUGCUGUGAAGGAAAAAGAAGCUAAGCUGAAAGAACUGCAGGAGUUUUUGGAAGCAAAGAACCUUGCACCUACAACUUACAAUAGCGAAGACACAUUAAAGCAGCGUAUAAGACAACUGGAGAACAACCUUGACAAGAUGAAGAUAAAGAUCAUAGAGGCGAGGAAAAUCCAGACUGUCUAUCAGCACAUUCGUGAGCACCUGCAGGAGGAGGUCUGUCGUAUGUCCAAGGACCUAGACCAGACGGAGCUUGCAGUUGCCCUUGGAGAGGCAGAGGUGGACCAAGCAAGCAAGCAGGUUGAGUCAGCAGCUGCUGCUGCACACAGCAUAAUGGGCACGAUGGUCCAGACAGAAUGUGAGACAAUGGGAAGGAAAAGAGAAAUGGACAGUGAGCUGUGGGAGCUGAGUGCAGAGGAAAAGGAGCUAAAAAGGAAGAUGGAAACACUCUGGCGUCGUAGCCUAUCAGUACAGAGCCAGCAGAAAGAGCGGUACAUUGAAGAAGCACAGUCAACUUUUGUCAAAGAUUAUCAGCAUCAUGACAUCUGUGGUGCUUCCCAGUCGGACAUGAAGCUGGUAGAAGAUAUGGAGGCUCUGAUAGAGGCUCUAGGCUGCGCUGACGUGCAGGAUCUAGUUAACAAGGUAGUGUCACAACGAGCCACCAAGGAGCAGCUCCUCAUUGAGGUAACGCAGUAUAAAGAACUAAUCAGGCAAGAAGCCGAAACCCUGGCUGAUCUGGAGGUCCAAUACACCGAACUGAAGUUCAGUGAGAAACCUGCAACUACACGGUACUGUCAUUGAAGCUCUGCUACACAGCUGUUAUCCACUGUUGAAACAUUAUAUUGAAGUGUCAUAUUGAGUAUUAUAGUCAACCUUGUCACUAAUUGUAAAUAUCACAAUAUAUGUUAGUUGAAGAGUCAAAAUGUGGCUCUCAGAUGGUCACCUACUAUACUUUAAAUCAGACUUUAAUUUAGUACACCACUUUCAUUCAAAAACAAUCUAACUUAACUAGAGCUCAAACAAUUAGGUGAAUUACUAAAUUGAUCGAUAUAUGUAGAUACAUUUAAAAUGAAUCCGUUUUGAAAAUGGAGUAAUUGUUAAUGCUUGGUUUGUCUACGUGGAAAAGACAACCAAACUUUAAAGAUGGUUAAAAGAUAAGUGACACAUAGUCGGAUGGGCUAAGUAAACGGUCAGCUGAUGCGCUAUGAGGGCAGGGAUCAUUGGAAAUGCAGUUUAAAAUUUAGACAGUUUUAAAAAAUGUGCCACGUGAAAAAAAAAUUGUUUUUGGAAAUGUUUUAAAAACCUUAUGUUUAAUCUGAAUAUAAUACUUAAAGUAUAUAUACUUUUAGACCUAAUACUAGGAUAGGUUACUUUAACUCUAUAAGCAAUAAUUAUGGAUAGGUAAGACAUAGCAUCUUUAGUCAUACAACCCAGUCUGCUCUAGAUGCUGGUCUUGUCAAAUGCUGUGAGACAUCAAUGUGGACCACCGCAUCUGUCUUUUAACUCACUUGGCAGGUAGAAGUUUAAUGCCCCUGGCUGUGUGGAGGGGUUAUUAAUGAGGGUGAUGAUUAUUUGAAAGCAUCUCUGUGCUAGCAGCUCUGAUAAGGCUGCUUGUGGCUGAAUUGAAGAUUUAUCAGUCUGGCACAGCGAGGACAACAUCCUUUUGUGGGUUGAUUGGGCCUGAUUGAUGUCUUUGCUUAUUUCUCCUGAGAUUUUUUCACAAUCCCCUCUCCCAGCACCUCAGGCCAUUCUCACAGUGUUUCACAGUGACAUAUUCAAUAUUUGUUCCGCUUGUUACACUCAUCACUUAAUCUUCUUAAAUAGAUGGCACAGGGACAGUUUGUGCUGAAGAACUGUGAGACAGCUUCAAAUGGGGCCAUUAAAAGUUGAAUCAUAUACUGCUCACUGUGGCAUUUUAUUACCGUGUUUUGCUUUUAUUACAUAAGGAGAGAGGGGCUGUCUCAAAAAACCUCCAUCUGUUUAUCUCAAGGUUUGACAAGCUGAAGGAACAAUUGCAGGCAUGGCUGAAUCAGGAAGUGGACCGUGUUCAACGACUGCAGGCUGAGCUGAAGCAGUCUCAGGAUCUGUUGGACAGUGUUGAGUUCGGGGUCAACAACUUCUACUUCAGGAUGAGCUGUGUAGCCUUGGAGGUCUGGACCAAAAACUGUCUUCUCUAAACUUUCUCCUUCAAAAAUUGCUUCAGGAUGGACCAUAUUUGUGUUUACUACUG